rnacentral:rRNA from 1 species
UACAGAGACCUCAAGCAUUAUCCGGAUUUAUUGGGCGUAAAGGGCGCGUAGGCGGCCUGUUAAGUCGAACGUGAAAUCCCCGGGCUCAACCCGGGAACUGCGUCCGAUACUGGCAGGCUUGAAUCCGGGAGAGGGAUGUGGAAUUCCAGGUGUAGCGGUGAAAUGCGUAGAUAUCUGGAGGAACACCGGUGGCGAAGGCGGCAUCCUGGACCGGUAUUGACGCUGAGGCGCGAAAGCCAGGGGAGCAAACGGG